GGGUGUGAAACCAAUUGGCUUUUAACCAAUUGGUCGUAGGUUCGAAUCCCAC
rfam:Pseudomonas floridensis strain GEV388 GEV-388_contig_28, whole genome shotgun sequence.